UGGGGAAUAUUGGACAAUGGGCGGAAGCCUGAUCCAGCCAUGCCGCGUGUGUGAAGAAGGCCUUUUGGUUGUAAAGCACUUUAAGCGAGGAGGAGGCUACUUGGAUUAAUACUCUAGGAUAGUGGACGUUACUCGCAGAAUAAGCACCGGCUAACUCUGUGCCAGCAGCCGCGGUAAUACAGAGGGUGCGAGCGUUAAUCGGAUUUACUGGGCGUAAAGCGUGCGUAGGCGGCUUCUUAAGUCGGAUGUGAAAUCCCUGAGCUUAACUUAGGAAUUGCAUUCGAUACUGGGAAGCUAGAGUAUGGGAGAGGAUGGUAGAAUUCCAGGUGUAGCGGUGAAAUGCGUAGAGAUCUGGAGGGAUACCGAUGGCGAAGGCAGGCAUCUGGCCUAAUACUGACGCUGAGGUACGAAAGCAUGGGGAGCAAACAGG
rnacentral:rRNA from 1 species